rnacentral:rRNA from 1 species
AGAGUUUGAUCCUGGCUCAGGACGAACGCUGGCGGCGUGCUUAACACAUGCAAGUCGAGCGGAAAGGCCCUUCGGGGUACUCGAGCGGCGAACGGGUGAGUAACACGUGAGCAACCUGCCCCAUGCUUUGGGAUAACCCUCGGAAACGGGGGCUAAUACCGAAUAUUCACUACUGAUCGCAUGUUUGGUGGUGGAAAGUUUUUCGGCGUGGGAUGGGCUCGCGGCCUAUCAGCUUGUUGGUGGGGUAAUGGCCUACCAAGGCGACGACGGGUAGCCGGCCUGAGAGGGCGACCGGCCACACUGGGACUGAGACACGGCCCAGACUCCUACGGGAGGCAGCAGUGGGGAAUAUUGCACAAUGGGCGGAAGCCUGAUGCAGCGACGCCGCGUGAGGGAUGACGGCCUUCGGGUUGUAAACCUCUUUCAGCAGGGACGAAGCGCAAGUGACGGUACCUGCAGAAGAAGCGCCGGCCAACUACGUGCCAGCAGCCGCGGUAAGACGUAGGGCGCGAGCGUUGUCCGGAAUUAUUGGGCGUAAAGAGCUCGUAGGCGGCUUGUCGCGUCGACUGUGAAAACCCGCGGCUCAACCGCGGGCCUGCAGUCGAUACGGGCAGGCUAGAGUUCGGUAGGGGAGACUGGAAUUCCUGGUGUAGCGGUGAAAUGCGCAGAUAUCAGGAGGAACACCGAUGGCGAAGGCAGGUCUCUGGGCCGAUACUGACGCUGAGGAGCGAAAGCGUGGGGAGCGAACAGGAUUAGAUACCCUAGUAGUCC